rnacentral:misc_RNA from 1 species
UCUUCCCUUACCAUCAAAAGCGAGCAGUGUCGGUAAGCGUAGGACACGAACGCACGAUCCUGCACGUGAGCAAUCUCCCAACUCAUCUCUGUCAUCUCUGCUGUCACUCGUGGGUCUGCCGCGCGACGCUUUCGCCAUCUUACGAAAGAACCAUGCAACUAUUUUGGUGACUCCUCACAGAGUUAUUACUUAUUACUACUCAUAAGGUGAGGUUCAACAAGUUGAAAAGAUGUCGAACGAAGAGAAAUGUUCUACGGAAUUGUCCUAUAGGGAUAAAAUAAUUAUGGCUCCUAUGGUGCGCAUUGGAACACUACCGAUGCGUCUUCUUGCUUUGGAUUAUGGAGCUGAUAUCGUGUACACAGAGGAACUUAUUGACUGGAAACUCCUGCGUUCAAUUCGUAGGGAAAAUGAAAAACUUCAGACCAUUGACUACGUCGACAGAACCGAUGGCACUGUUGUUUUUCGUACGUGUGCUCGCGAAAAGAACCAUGUAGUCCUGCAAAUUGGGACUAGUGACGCAGGAAGGGCACUUCAGGUUGCCAAGAUGGUGCACAACGAUGUGGCUGGUAUCGACGUUAACAUGGGUUGUCCCAAGAGAUUCUCAUUGACGGGAGGCAUGGGAGCUGCGCUUUUAAAGCAGCCUGAAAAGGCAAAGGGAAUUCUUAAAACUUUGGUGGAAGGGUCAAAGGUUCCUAUUAGUUGUAAGAUUCGGGUUUUACCUACUGUGGAAGAAACAUUAGCUCUUUGCGAGAUCCUGAUCAGUGCUGGAAUCUCAGCGAUAGCUGUACAUGGCAGAACGACUGAAGAGAGACCACAACACCCCAAUAGAAUUGAAACCCUCCGGAAAAUAGCUGAGAAAUUAAGAAUUCCUGUCAUUGCUAAUGGCGGAUCAAGGGAUAUCGAAACUCAUAAGGACAUCCUCAAAUUUAAGGAAGAAUCCGGAUGCAGUAGCGUCAUGAUUGCCAGAGCUGCCGAGUGGAAUUGCUCGAUUUUUAAGAAAGACGGAGUCUUACCUAUGGAACAGGUGAUAAAGGAUUACCUCAAGUGUGCAGUGGAUUACGACAAUCCACCUUCGAACACAAAGUAUUGCGUACAAAAUAUUCUUCGGGAUCUUCAGGAGACUCCUAAAGGAAGGCGAUUCCUGGACGCAUUGACUUUACAGCAGAUUUGCGAUGUAUGGGACAUGGGCGAUUAUUGCAGGAUGAAGGAAAAGGAAUAUCAAGCCAAUGGAGGUCUUCUGGGACGCUAUAACUUAUUAAUAACUGCGGACGAGACUGAGGGUGGCAAAAGCACGAAGAGGAAAUACGAGGACGAGGACGUGACCUCGAUCAACUGCGCUUUUCUCAAAAACAGUUAUUCCAGCGACGCGGAAUUACCGAAAACGAGACUCUCCGCGUGGGCUUGGCGGCAUAAGAAAGAAGUACCAAGUUAUAAAACCUGGAAGGAAGAGAAACUCUUCCGGUCUGUCGUCUGUGUUGAUGGCAGAAAAUAUGGCUCUUCACUGUGGGAAAAGAACAAGAAGAGGGCAGAGCAAAGCGCCGCAUUAGCUUGUCUGUACUCCUUGGGUCUAAUAAGAACGGAUAACUCAGGUGAAACUGGCAAAGUUAUCACCUGACGUUAAACAAAAUCGUUGCAGCAGAUCCGUGGUUUCCUUUGCUUGAACAUCGACGAUCAAAUCGGCCUCAAGAACCAAUUAAUUCCUGCCCUGCUGACCAUCCCCUCUUCCGAUGUUCAGAUACUGUCCGAAAGCUAAUAAUCCUGAUAUGGUUUAUCACCAGUGGCUAUCGAUGACCGAAU